GACGAACGCCGGCGGCGUGCCUAAUACAUGCAAGUAGAACGCACAGUUUAUACCGUAGCUUGCUACACCAUAGACUGUGAGUUGCGAACGGGUGAGUAACGCGUAGGUAACCUGCCUGGUAGCGGGGGAUAACUAUUGGAAACGAUAGCUAAUACCGCAUAAUAUUAAUUAUUGCAUGAUAAUUAAUUGAAAGGAGCAAUUGCACCACUACCAGAUGGACCUGCGUUGUAUUAGCUAGUAGGUGAGGUAACGGCUCACCUAGGCGACGAUACAUAGCCGACCUGAGAGGGUGAUCGGCCACACUGGGACUGAGACACGGCCCAGACUCCUACGGGAGGCAGCAGUAGGGAAUCUUCGGCAAUGGACGAAAGUCUGACCGAGCAACGCCGCGUGAGUGAAGAAGGUUUUCGGAUCGUAAAGCUCUGUUGUAAGAGAAGAACGGGUGUGAGAGUGGAAAGUUCACACUGUGACGGUAUCUUACCAGAAAGGGACGGCUAACUACGUG
rnacentral:rRNA from 1 species